UAGUGGUUCCGUCAGAACCCCGGGGGCCUCAUCCAUCUGUUUUACAUUCCUUCAGGGACAAAGGAAGAUGGAAGAUUAAACACCAUGACAGUACCCACAGAACACCGAAGCUCACUGCAUGUUUCCUCUUCACAGACCACAGACUCAGGCCCUUGCUUCUGUGCUGUGCAGCGUAGUGCUCCCCAAGCACCUGCAGCCCUGCAGCCUGUACUCAUACCCUCCGCGGGGCUCAGCCCGUCCUCCAGCCACAGUCACACCAUGACGCCGUUACCAGGAUCUGCCUAA
rnacentral:lncRNA from 1 species